UUUUAUUAAAUGUUAUUUAAUGUUGCUCCAUUAUGUGUUCAAUAAUAAAAAUAUGGGGGGAAACCAGUUCUCUUCCAUCUAUUCAGUAGAUCAUAAUUCAUAAUUUAGCCCUCUUAGAGGGCUAAAAGACAUGGGAUCCAGAUUCAGCUCUAGAUCAAUCAUUUACUGCAAUUUAACCUUUGGAAAGUAAUUUAACCUAAGAUUCAAUUUUCAUUGUUUUCAUUGUUGUUACUCUUGAGAAAAAGAGUUCAUCAGAGGAGGAAGCAGGGGAGCCCUGGUAGAGUCAAUAUUGGAUUCUAGAAGUAACUUGGAUAAAAGACCAUUCUGAUCAAAGACAAACUCCCCAUGGAACCAGCUGCCCAACAGAUGUCUCACAGCCACUGUUCACAUUAACUCCUGAUUGCCUGCUAGAUGGAAAACAAGCUUCCAGCGACUCAAUCACAAAACCUGAGUCCUACAGCACUUCUCUGAUUAAGCGUACUUGGAAGAGUAAGUCGCCUCCUGUAAGACUGUCGCUAAAGAAGUCUUGAAAGUACUGGAUUGUGGCAAACUGCUGAAGAGAAAAAUCAUAACAUCUCCUUAGAAGAUGGCAAUAUUUACAUGCAAAGAGGGGGAAAAGGUUCUUUUAAUCUCUUAUUUAAGGCAGAAUAUGGACACUUUAAAGGACCUAUGAAAACCCCCUCAUUUAAUCUUGGUUUGAUGAAAAAAUACAUCCAAUCUCCAAGGUGAGGUUCAUACAGAACCGUCUGGAAAACUGAGUUAAAAAAACAUUGUUUCCAAAAGAAAAUCCCAUAUCAAGAUCAAUACCCUUACUCCAUCUCACCCCAUCUUCUGUCCCUCACCCCAUGGGUUGAGGCUUUGGCCCCUGACAUAAAGACUGCCAGAGUCUGAAUCUC